rnacentral:misc_RNA from 1 species
GAAAUGCGAUAAGUAAUGUGAAUUGCAGAAUUCAGUGAAUCAUCGAAUCUUUGAACGCACCUUGCGCUCCUUGGUAUUCCUUGGAGCAUGCCUGUUUGAGUAUCAUGAAAUGUUCAAAGUAAAUCUUUUGUUAACUCAAUUGGUUUCUACUUUGGUAUUGGAGGUCUUUGCAGCUUCACACCUGCUCCUCUUUGUUCAUUAGCUGGAUCUCAGUGUUAUGCUUGGUUCCACUCGGCGUGAUAAGUUAUCUAUCGCUGAGGACACUGUAAAAGGUGGCCAAGGUAAAUGCAGAUGAACCGCUUCUAAUAGUCCAUUGACUUGGACAAUACUUUUAUGAUCUGAUCUCAAAUCAGGUAGGACUACCCGCUGAACUUAAGC